ACAUACGACCAUAGGGUGUGGAAAACAGGGCUUCCCGUCCGCUCAGCCGUACUUAAGCCACACGCCGGUGAGUUAGUAGUUGGGUGGGUGACCACCAGCGAAUCCUCACUGUUGUAUGUU
rfam:Penicillium freii strain DAOM 242723 scaffold_260, whole genome shotgun sequence.